CAGCUCAACGUUUUCCGUUUGUGCUUACGAGGCGGCGUUACUUGAGAGAAGAUAAUAAUACUUUGAUGCUCUUCUCACGCCUACAAAUGAGGGCGACGGGAUAAACAGCACAGCACGCGAAAGGGUACGUGAACGCCAACGAACGGCGUGCCGCCAACAACUGCAUGGGCUGUCACUUCAGUGUAUUCUUCCCGCCUUUGGAAGAAGCAUUUUGGACUAAAGCUACCUUGAUAUGUACAAAACAUGGGAGACUACGUGCAGGAUUAUGAAUGGCUACCUGAAUGCUGCUUGAAGCAGCCAGCUCUACAGCACCACUCGUGCCCCUUUCCAUGGGUUGGCAAGAGGAGCAGUGGCACACAACUCUACAGGCACUUGUGCUUUUUAUCAUCUUUGGAGGAGAUGUAUUGGCAGCUGCAGGUGGUCCCUUCUCAUACGCCAUGCCAAGGAGUCCUGCAAUCCGAGUCAUGCAUCACUGCCGGUGACUGGGUGCUCCAUACCAUGCACUGCCAUUUCAAUACACCAAGGCUUUUCGUGUGGAUUCCUUCCCUUUUCAAGGCCACCACUGCUUGCACAGCAUCAUCAGCCUACCUUCCUUGAUCUUCAUGUUCCAUAUGGCAGAAGAAAAUACAAAAUGCCUACUCUGAAAUACAUGCUUGGCUCCAUGCAGCACUCCCUGCCGUCAGGGUGCUAGAACUUUGUGCAGAGAAAAUGUUCGUAAUGAUGCUAUAUGUGUACAGCCUUGGUGGUAAAGUGUUGCCCGCUUCGCCUAUGAGAGAAUUUCACACUUAUGGGCACUGUUAAAGGUUCAUGUGUUAAAUGUUUGACAUCCUAUAGAAAUUUUCAUGUUUCAGUGUAAAAGCAAAAUUAUAGUUGAAUUGCUGCUUUUUGUGAUAUGCAAUAUACAGCUGAAGGUGAUUAGCAGUGGUGAAACAGGUGUUGUAUGAGGUGGUAAAUUGUUUUCAACAGGGGGAGUUGUCUUUGCUAGGGCAACAACUGUUUUCCUUGGCAGCAUUUAUAUAGUUCACUUUUCCCCACUCCAUAGACAUCUAGGAGAAUAAGCAGGGUUGCAUAGAGUAGGGUGAGGCAAGUUGAAAUGCUCAACAUGAUGGUUUAGUUGGGAAGGUAAGGUGUGUGGGAGAAAUAGGGGAGUUUCCUCAGACCACUCAGAUUGCUGACAUUGGUGUUGGUCUUUGUGCCGGUGUUGGUUAUAUAACGCAAGGCACAUUUUGAGGAAAGAAUUUUUGAAAAAACUCCUUAUAUUUGUGCAAAUUCGGUAUGUGCCCCUGGGGCUGCAAUAGGUUAGCACCACUGAGGCCACUGGUUAUGUGCCCCUGGGGCCACUGCAUCGGCAUAUGCAGGUCUUCAAUGAACCUCUUUGACACCAACUUGUGUAUGUGCCAAUCUUUAAUGAACCUCUUUGAUGCCAACUAGGGUCAGGUGGCAUCGCAACAAGCACCUAUGUAGUGACAUCUACAUAUGCAUUGUUGUCAGCUGGAGUUGUCUACUAGUCCCCUUGUUGGAUUGUUAACCUCAGCCUGAGACAUCACCUGCUUGACUACUGUUACAUUGUGACCAUCUUGCUGUGAACUUUUGUCAUGUUCACUAUUUGGGUAGUUUGUAUUUCAGGUAUUGCACAUUGCUAAGGAAAUUGAUUCAGAGUGGGGUGUGCGCCCUUGGCUUCUUUUUCUUUGCAGCUGCAUGUUACAUGCGAGCAUAGUAUGUGGGAGUAAGUUGUUUGUAGAUAUCAAUUCGAAAUAGCAUAGGUAUUCAAAAGUACUUUGUUUAUUUUCCUUCGGGUCAUUGCUGCUGUCAGGCCUACUUUGCAUCAUUCAUUGUAGCAUGCUCUUUUACUUGCAAAAAGAAGUGUGACCUGUUCAAACAGAUACAAGGAUUGCCGAAUAGCUCAUGGUGUUGUCUUGAGCUACUCACUUUUGGUCUUGGCUGCACUUGUAGAUUUAUAAGUGUACUGAAGCUUGUCAAAUGCUUGAAUUCUCUGUCAUACUUGUUUAUAUCCAAUUUAUUGAAUCAAUUCACUUUCACUAUGCCAACAAUUGCUGAUUGUACUAUCAUGCUGGCACAUUUGGUUGUGGAAUUACAAUAAAUUUCCAGA